rnacentral:rRNA from 1 species
AAUGGGCGCAAGCCUGACCGAGCCAUGCCGCGUGAGCGAUGAAGGCCUUAGGGUUGUAAAGCUCUUUCGCCAGGGAUGAUAAUGACAGUACCUGGUAAAGAAACCCCGGCUAACUCCGUGCCAGCAGCCGCGGUAAUACGGAGGGGGUUAGCGUUGUUCGGAAUUACUGGGCGUAAAGCGUACGUAGGCGGAUUGGAAGGUUGGGGGUGAAAUCCCAGGGCUCAACCCUGGAACUGCCUCCAAAACUGCCAGUCUUGAGUUCGAGAGAGGUGAGUGGAACUCCGAGUGUAGAGGUGAAAUUCGUAGAUAUUCGGAAGAACACCAGUGGCGAAGGCGGCUCACUGGCUCGAUACUGACGCUGAGGUACGAAAGUGUGGGGAGCAAGCAGGAUU